rnacentral:rRNA from 1 species
GAUGAACGCUAGCUACAGGCUUAACACAUGCAAGUCGAGGGACCGGCGCACGGGAGAGUAACACGUAUCAAACCUGCCCUUUACUCGGGGAUAGCCUUUCGAAAGAAAGAUUAAUACCCGAUAUAAAGGAUGGGGAUGCGUUCCAUUAGGUGGUUGGUGAGGUAACGGCCCACCAAGCCUUCGAUGGAUAGGGGUGCUGAGAGGAAGGUCCCCCACAUUGGAACUGAGGCACGGUCCAAACUGCUACGGGACGCAGCAGUGAGGAAUAUUGGUCAAUGAGCGUUAGCCUGAACCAGCCAAGUAGAGUGAAGAAUGAAGGCUUAUGAGUCGUAAACUUCUUUUAUAUAAGAAUAUGUAUUAUAAGAAUAAGGAUCGGCUAACUCCGUGCCAGCAGCCGCGGUAAUUC